rnacentral:ncRNA from 1 species
UAAAAGACAAUGAAAAGAAGAGUACAGAUCAUUGCGAUUUUAUAGAGAGUCCCUGUUUGCUGAGAAGGGAUAAAGAGUGAUAUCUGGAAGUGCGUCUUGGAGUCGUAUCGUUGAAUUUUCUUGGAAGAUUAGAUGAUGCCGGGUAUGCCCGUUACAGCGGCGCAGUAUUACAGACAGAUGCGUCUGAGUACUGUAGUUAAGAUAGUGUAUAGUACAGCCGGAGGUUUAACAAGGUUGAAACUGUACAUUUUUUAAGGUGGAACCGUGGAAUUGAUUAUUUUGCCCUUGAA